rnacentral:lncRNA from 1 species
UUUAAUCCCAUUACAACCAUACCUCAAUUACAAACUUCUUAGAGUCGGCAUAUGCAUUCUCACAAUUCAUUUCACUCUAUUUGGACCCAUUUCAUUCUAGUAUUUACUACUAAUUUAUGGAUCUCAAACAAUACAAGUUCUCUAUAUUUCCUAAUGAGACACAUCUUAACAACUAAAAAGAUUCCUAGUGAAUUGACCUAAUGUAUGCUUACCUUCUUCAUGACUAAGCAUAAUUCUAAUGAUAUGACUAUCAUAUCUCUUAUGUACCUGAUGAUGCGAUGG